rnacentral:rRNA from 1 species
AUGCACGCUGGCUACAGGCUUCACCCCUGCAAGUCGAGGGGAAACGACGGGGAAGCUUGCUUCCCCGGGCGUCGACCGGCGCACGGGUGAGUAACGCGUAUCCAACCUGCCUCUGACUGAGGGAUAACCCGUCGAAAGUCGGCCUAAUACCUCAUGGCAUCGUCUGCGGGCAUCCAACGACGAUUAAAGAUUUCAUCGGUCAGAGAUGGGGAUGCGUCUGAUUAGCUUGUUGGCGGGGUAACGGCCCACCAAGGCGACGAUCAGUAGGGGUUCUGAGAGGAAGGUCCCCCACAUUGGAACUGAGACACGGUCCAAACUCCUACGGGAGGCAGCAGUGAGGAAUAUUGGUCAAUGGGCGAGAGCCUGAACCAGCCAAGUAGCGUGCAGGAGGACGGCCCUAUGGGUUGUAAACUGCUUUUAUGCGGGGAUAAAGUGAGGGACGUGUCCUUCAUUGCAGGUACCGCAUGAAUAAGGACCGGCUAAUUCCGUG